UACAGAGGUCUCAAGCGUUGUUCGGAUUCAUUGGGCGUAAAGGGUGCGUAGGCGGCGCGGUAAGUCGGGUGUGAAAUCUCGGGGCUUAACUCCGAAACUGCAUUCGAUACUGCCUUGCUCGAGGACUGGAGAGGAGAUUGGAAUUCACGGUGUAGCAGUGAAAUGCGUAGAUAUCGUGAGGAAGACCAGUGGCGAAGGCGGAUCUCUGGACAGUUCCUGACACUGAGGCACGAAGGCCAGGGGAGCAAACGGG
rnacentral:rRNA from 1 species